rnacentral:rRNA from 1 species
AUUGAACGCUGGCGGCAUGCUUUACACAUGCAAGUCGAACGGUAACAGGCCGCAAGGUGCUGACGAGUGGCGAACGGGUGAGUAAUGCAUCGGAACGUGCCCAGUCGUGGGGGAUAACUACUCGAAAGAGUAGCUAAUACCGCAUACGAUCUAUGGAUGAAAGCGGGGGACCGUAAGGCCUCGCGCGAUUGGAGCGGCCGAUGUCAGAUUAGGUAGUUGGUGGGGUAAAGGCUCACCAAGCCAACGAUCUGUAGCUGGUCUGAGAGGACGACCAGCCACACUGGGACUGAGACACGGCCCAGACUCCUACGGGAGGCAGCAGUGGGGAAUUUUGGACAAUGGGCGCAAGCCUGAUCCAGCAAUGCCGCGUGCAGGAAGAAGGCCUUCGGGUUGUAAACUGCUUUUGUACGGAACGAAACGGCUCUGGAUAAUACCCGGGGCUAAUGACGGUACCGUAAGAAUAAGCACCGGCUAACUACGUG